CAGCAGCCGCGGUAAUACGUAGGGUGCAAGCGUUAAUCGGAAUUACUGGGCGUAAAGCGUGCGUAGGCGGUUUGUUAAGUCUGUUGUGAAAUCCCCGGGCUCAACCUGGGAAUGGCAAUGGAUACUGGCAAGCUAGAGUGUGUCAGAGGAUGGUGGAAUUCCCGGUGUAGCGGUGAAAUGCGUAGAGAUCGGGAGGAACAUCAGUGGCGAAGGCGGCCAUCUGGGACAACACUGACGCUGAGGCACGAAAGCGUGGGGAGCAAACAGGAUUAGAUACCCGAGUAGUCCCUGUCUCUUAUAC
rnacentral:rRNA from 1 species